AAUAUACUCCCUCCGUCCGAAAUUACUUGUCACAAAAAUGGAUAAUAAUGGAUGUAUCUAGAAAUAAAAUACAUCCAUUAUUAUUCAUUUUUGUGACAAGUAAUCCCGGACGGAGGGUGUACAUG
rfam:Hordeum vulgare subsp. vulgare, WGS project CAJW01000000 data, contig: morex_contig_38262